rnacentral:rRNA from 1 species
CCUACGGGUGGCAGCAGUGAGGAAUAUUGGUCAAUGGGCGGAAGCCUGAACCAGCCAUGCCGCGUGCAGGAAGACGGCCCUACGGGUUGUAAACUGCUUUUCCGGGGGAAGAAUAAGGCCCACGCGUGGGCCGAUGCCGGUACCCCGGGAAUAAGGAUCGGCUAACUCCGUGCCAGCAGCCGCGGUAAUACGGAGGAUCCGAGCGUUAUCCGGAUUUACUGGGUUUAAGGGGUGCGUAGGCGGGCGCGGAGAAAGUCUGCGGCUCAACCGUAGGAUUGCCGUUGAUACUGGGGGUCUUGGAUUCGGUCGAGGCGGGCGGAAUGCGACAUGUAGCGGUGAAAUGCUUAGAUAUGUCGCAGAACGCCGAUUGCGAAGGCAGCUCGCCGGGCCGACAUCGACGCUGAGGCACGAAAGCGUGGGGAUCGAACAGGAUUAGAUACCCGAGUAGUC